AUUGAACGCUGGCGGCAUGCUUUACACAUGCAAGUCGAACGGUAACAGGCCUUCGGGUGCUGACGAGUGGCGCACGGGUGAGUAAUGCAUCGGAACGUGCCCAGAGGUGGGGGAUAACGCAGCGAAAGCUGUGCUAAUACCGCAUGUGAUCUGAGGAUGAAAGCGGGGGACCGGGCAGCAAUGUUUGGCCUCGCGCCUUUGGAGCGGCCGAUGUCAGAUUAGGUAGUUGGUGGGGUAAAGGCCUACCAAGCCGACGAUCUGUAGCUGGUCUGAGAGGACGACCAGCCACACUGGGACUGAGACACGGCCCAGACUCCUACGGGAGGCAGCAGUGGGGAAUUUUGGACAAUGGGCGCAAGCCUGAUCCAGCAAUGCCGCGUGCGGGAAGAAGGCCUUCGGGUUGUAAACCGCUUUUGUACGGAACGAAAAGGCUCUGGCUAAUACCUGGGGCUGAUGACGGUACCGUAAGAAUAAGCACCGGCUAACUACGUG
rnacentral:rRNA from 1 species